rnacentral:rRNA from 1 species
GAUGAACGCUGGCGGCGUGCCUAAUACAUGCAAGUCGAGCGAACAGAUGAGGAGCUUGCUCCUCUGACGUUAGCGGCGGACGGGUGAGUAACACGUGGAUAACCUACCUAUAAGACCGGGAUAACUUCGGGAAACCGGAGCUAAUACCGGAUAAUAUAUUGAACCGCAUGGUUCAAUAGUGAAAGACGGUUUUGCUGUCACUUAUAGAUGGAUCCGCGCCGCAUUAGCUAGUUGGUAAGGUAACGGCUUACCAAGGCAACGAUGCGUAGCCGACCUGAGAGGGUGAUCGGCCACACUGGAACUGAGACACGGUCCAGACUCCUACGGGAGGCAGCAGUAGGGAAUCUUCCGCAAUGGGCGAAAGCCUGACGGAGCAACGCCGCGUGAGUGAUGAAGGUCUUCGGAUCGUAAAACUCUGUUAUUAGGGAAGAACAAAUGUGUAAGUAACUAUGCACGUCUGGACGGUACCUAAUCAGAAAGCCACGGCUAACUACGU